CAAAUACAAAUACAAAGCGAUGGGCACUCGCGGAAUAGUGCAAACGUAGGUAAUGGGAUUAUGUGUCGUUACGGGUAGAUGGUCGCUUUUUCCAUCCGAGAAAAUCCCCACCGUCGUUCAACUCGAAUGCGUCUAAACAAGGUCAGCAGAAAUAAUGGUUCCCACUAGGCUUCCGAAUGAUGUUGGAUGAGAAGGAGAAUUUGAAAAUUGGAUCGUUGAAAACUGCUUCCAGAUGUUCUAAAGAUAUGCCGUUUCGGAAAUCAAAAAGUAUCGCUUGUCAGCGGCCGGCGUUUACAUCAAUGACAGAACUCAGCGUAAUCUGGUAGCUUUGGUGCACGUACCAAAGAGCUAUCAUGAUCUCAAAAUGGAUCGAAGUGGAGGAGACUGGUACAUUUUCAAUGAUUUUAGUAUUUCCCCGGUGUCCGUGCAGGAAGCGGUUUGGUUUACAUUGGAUUGGAAGGUGCCAUGCGUUCUGUUUUACACCAGUACCGUACUCAAGAACGAACAAGGAGAGAACGAGAAAUGUUUGACUCAGUACGUAAAUCCAUUCACAAAUGAUCUGUUACCGAACCAAACUCUGGUGCCCAGAAAAUUCUCAAUUUUUACCAUAAUAUCCAUUGACGCAAACACAUUCAUGUCCCAUUUGUCUAGUCGAACACAGACCGUUCAGGCAAAGUGAGUUAGCGCAGAAAUCAACCUUAAUCUUACAAAGUCGCCCCAUGUAAUCCGGUUUACAGUUGGAGUGAUAGUCAUUCACAAGUUAAACGCAGUCCAGCGUUCCUAGAUAUGAGCAUGAAUUCGAAAGACACUCGUUGAUGGCUUCUUCGCACCGUG